CACGUCCCACCGCGUCCCGCAGCAAGGAGGCGGCUGCAAGGGGAGGGGCGGAAUGGUGGCUUAGAGGAGAAAUCGGGAAUCAAUCACCGGAGACUUCUUCCGUUGUGGAUCCGAGUGUCAGUGCUAGAAAACAAGGUUUGGGCAGCCUCGCUGGAGCUUUGCACGUGAGCCCAAGGCAGGACAUUGAAUCUUCUCAGCCAGCUCUGUGCAAAGGGAAUUGCUCAGCUCAUAAGUUAAUUAACAAGGAGAACUGCUUUGCUCCACAGAGGCUGGCUCUGUAAAUCAGCCCCUCAGAAAUGAGAUGACCAGAAGGCAGGAUCCUGGCACUGGUGCUUCCGGGACCGUUCCCCACUGGGGAGCAAGUCGUACAAACAACUGCUGUGCCCACACUGCGUGCCUCUGUUCUUGAAGAGGAUGUCCUCAAUGCUCCUAUUGAUUUCUCUCUCUGACAGAGCUGGCUGAAGCAUGUGGGAUUUUCUGGCUUUGAGAGCUAUUUACUAAAAGUACAUGUUGAUAGGAUCCUUUGGGGACAGGUUGGGGGGAUGUGCUUGCUGCCAUUAGCUUCCUCAGUGUAACCAGGCUUGAAUGAGUCAAUGGCCUUCUCUGAAAAACAUGUUUAGAAUAAGGUACUUGGAGGACUGGCUGCCAGCAAAAGUGCUACCAGUCUUUUGAACUAAUGGGCCUUUCUGGAAAAUGAAAAAUACUGACUGGCAAGGUAGUGAUUUUUAUUCCAAGUUGAGUAGAAAUGAAAAUAUUGGACUCUUCCAGCAGUUGCCCUCUUAAGUGCUACAAUAUCUACUGUAAUAAGUGAUUGUUGUUGUGUCAAACCUGCAUUUGUGGCUGCACUUCCAAUUACUUCCUAUCGGUGGGAGAACUUCCAAGGCAGCAACCAUGAGCAGAAGGCUCUGCAAACUGAGCAGUGCCAUCACUUGUGCUGAGCAGAGCGCCAUGGCUUUGGUUGCCCUCGGGGUGAAGUCUGAACAAAGGGAGCUGGAGCAAAAAGAAAGGGGAAUAUGGAAUGCUUGUGGUAUAUGCUGCAAAUCGGUGCACGCUGUGCUUUUAGUUUGGCCCCAGAUGUGCUGUGUUGAGUGCACAGUGGUUGGAGCUAAGCAAUGAACACCUGGAGCAGUGUUACCUCUGCUUCAUCAGCACUCCUCUAGUCCAGUGCUGUGUUUAAGAAAGGAUAAGAAAAUAAGGAAGGUGGAAGUGCAGCACUGCCCCAUCCCCGUGUAUGCCAGUGUGAGUCUCAGUGGUAGGUGAGUCCACUGAAGAUCAUCCAGUGUUGUAGUAGACCCUGCUGUGACCCGAGUGACCCUGACCUCAGUGACUGUCAUCCUCCCACAGCACCUCAUUAAUUCCUGCAGGGGAGAGCUACAGGAUGGGGUUACGUCAGGGGCAAAAUUAUUUUCCUUCAUCAUCACCCAAAGCAUGCUAUCGUGCACUUCUCAUAGCCUGCAAAGCCCAAUCUGCGUAUCAUCAUCAAAUAAGCUGUGCAGGUCUAUGGAUCUGAGCACAGGGCUGCAUCAAAGGGCUCCACCAAGCAAGGGAUGUGCCUUCUCACACCAGCAGCUUCCAGAACCCAG
rnacentral:lncRNA from 1 species